rnacentral:rRNA from 1 species
GAGUUUGAUCUUGGCUCAGAUUGAACGCUGGCGGCAUGCCUUACGCAUGCAAGUCGAACGGCAGCACGGGAGCUUGCUCCUGGUGGCGAGUGGCGAACGGGUGAGUAAUGCAUCGGAACGUAUCCUGGAGUGGGGGAUAACGUAGCGAAAGUUACGCUAAUACCGCAUAUUCUGUGAGCAGGAAAGCGGGGGACCUUCGGGCCUCGCGCUCUUGGAGCGGCCGAUGUCGGAUUAGCUAGUUGGUGAGGUAAAGGCUCACCAAGGCGACGAUCCGUAGCAGGUCUGAGAGGAUGAUCUGCCACACUGGAACUGAGACACGGUCCAGACUCCUACGGGAGGCAGCAGUGGGGAAUUUUGGACAAUGGGGGCAACCCUGAUCCAGCCAUGCCGCGUGAGUGAAGAAGGCC